AUUGAACGCUGGCGGCAUGCUUUACACGUGCAAGUCGAACGGCAGCGCGGGCUUCGGCCUGGCGGCGAGUGGCGAACGGGUGAGUAAUGCAUUGGAACGUGCCCAGUAGUGGGGGAUAGCCCGGCGAAAGCCGGAUUAAUACCGCAUACGACCCGAGGGUGAAAGCGGGGGACCGAAAGGCCUCGCGCUAUUGGAGCGGCCGAUGUCGGAUUAGCUAGUUGGUGGGGUAAAGGCUUACCAAGGCGACGAUCCGUAGCUGGUCUGAGAGGACGACCAGCCACACUGGGACUGAGACACGGCCCAGACUCCUACGGGAGGCAGCAGUGGGGAAUUUUGGACAAUGGGGGCAAGCCUGAUCCAGCCAUGCCGCGUGCGGGAAGAAGGCCUUCGGGUUGUAAACCGCUUUUGUUCGGGAAGAAAUACUCUGGGCUAAUACCCCGGGGGGAUGACGGUACCGGAAGAAUAAGCACCGGCUAACUACGUG
rnacentral:rRNA from 1 species